rnacentral:rRNA from 1 species
UACGGAGGGUCCAAGCGUUAUCCGGAAUCAUUGGGUUUAAAGGGUCCGUAGGCGGUUUAGUAAGUCAGUGGUGAAAGCCCAUCGCUCAACGGUGGAACGGCCAUUGAUACUGCUAGACUUGAAUUAUUAGGAAGUAACUAGAAUAUGUAGUGUAGCGGUGAAAUGCUUAGAUAUUACAUGGAAUACCAAUUGCGAAGGCAGGUUACUACUAAUUGAUUGACGCUGAUGGACGAAAGCGUGGGUAGCGAACAGG